GUUGGGAGGGAGUUAGGGACAGUGUAAGUUUCUAAGGUAUUUUGGAAGCAAGGUUCCCAGGACCUUGAGGGGCUAGCUGCUGUUAGGAAAAGAUCAUUUAUUACUAUCGAAUAAAACCUCAGCGGGAGACCCUUCCGAUGUAUGUCAAGGGACCAUAUGCUUGGAGGAUGAUCGCUAACAUGUAUCUUGGGGGUGGAGAUAAAGGAAGUUUCCAAAGGGAUGUUUACAUGUUAAAGGAGAUUUACAGGAUCCUGGGGGGCUGGGCUAAGAUUGCCUUUUGCCCUUAGCAAAGUGUCAUCAUGGAGGCAGCUGAGCUCCUAGAGGGAGGUCAUUCUGCCAGUCUCAAGGAUUUGUCAAUGGGCUGUGAGUUGUAAGGAAAUGUCAUUUUUUCUUUUGCCUUUGUUUCCACGUCAAUACCAGUUUCAUCCACACAAGAUUUUGCAGACUCUGUACCUGCCCUUACAAAUGCUCUCUCCAGCUCAGGAUUUCUGCUGGGUCUAAUUUUCCUGAACCAAGUAAAAAGAUCUAAAUUUCAUCAGGCAUUGUUUUAGCCAAUCUUUAUAAAUCUGUGUUGAUUAUUUGCAGCAGGGAUAUUAAUUAUGUAUUAGAUAAAAGACCAAUCACGUGUGUUUAUUCAACCAUGAGAAAAUGCUCCCCGUUUGUUCCAUAGAGGAAGAUGGGGCUCCAGCUUUGCAAACCGGAUGCUUUCAUACCUCUCUAGAUACUCUGUGGCCUUUGGGCAGAACUCCUGCUUUUCAGCAAUCUGCUGUUGCCCCCUCUCAGGUCGGCCUUCCCUCGGACCUCUUCCUCUCUGCAGCAGGGUUUGCUCUCCUGUGUCCUGAGGCCAUCUCCUGAGGAAGGCUGCAGCCUCCUUUUCCUUCCUGAUUCUUUGUCCAUGGCCUGCCUUGUGCUUGCAUACGUGUGCACACUGGUACCUCCACCCAACUGUCCCCACCCUGGUUGGCAAGCCCCAGGCCCACUCCUGUUGCACAGCCAACAUGCACCUCACCUCUCCCUGCGACAGCCCGUGAUGCACUAAUGACACUGAAAGGAGGGGACAGAUCCCUGUUGGACCACAGGGUGUGUGGAAGGGUGAAGGGCGCCCAGUGGAGGCCUCCUAGGGUCUCCACCGGCAUACCAGCAGAUGGCGUAACUGAGCACUUACUGUGUACCAGCAGCUUCCCCAACACUUGUGACGUGUGCUACACCGGGACUUCGCACAAGGAACCCUUCUCCCUUAAGAAAUGGGGAAACCAAGGCCCAGGGAGUGCGGUUGCUUGCCCAAGGUCACCCAGCUGGGAAACACUGGAGUCAGGAUCCUGCCUCGGGCAAAUCUCUGACUCCCUCUGACCUCAAAGUCUGCAAAAGCAAGCUCACCGCACUCCCCAGCUGGGUCUACGGAUUCGCGCGACUCUAACGGUGACACAGAGGAGAAUUGCGUCCGCCCCUGCCAACGUCCCAAGAGCGGGGCGGCUCUCACGGCUACCUCGCUGGUCAUCAAGGUCGCGCUGGUUGUGUGGGGUCCCGCCUGAGCAUUCCCGGGGACGACGGCCGCCAGCCUCUGACAAGUGGCUGCCCGGUCACGCAGCCCUUCCUGCGGGCCUCCGUCCGACCCCCGUCGCAGGAACACUCUCGCCCGGGCAGAAGAACAACUGGCACCUUGGCUGUGAAUUCUUGGUGAGUCAUCAGCAAACAGGCGCCCAGAGUGAAACUGCGCUCAGCUGUUAGUUGCUAUUUACUUCUUGUCAGCAGGGGAGAGAAGUAAGGAGAGUUAAUUGGAGUGUGCAAGUGCCUGGCUCUGGAGAAAAUAUGGUCAGUCCCUUUUUAGUUCUUCAGUCUAUUUUUGUUUGAGCAUCAGAGAAAGAUACUUAAUAAAUGCUUUUCCAUAGUCAAAUGGGAUAAAAAUUUCA